AGUGAACGCUGGCGGCGUGCCUAAUACAUGCAAGUCGAACGGAGUGGCGCACGGGUGAGUAAUAUAUAGCUAAUCUGCCCCUUGCUGGAGGACAACAGUUAGAAAUGACUGCUAAUACUCCAUAGCAAGGGAUGAGACGAUAUCGUAUCAGCUAGUCGGUGGGGUAACGGCCUACCGAGGCUAUGACGCGUAACUGGUCUGAGAGGAUGAUCAGUCACAUUGGAACUGAGACACGGUCCGAACUCCUACGGGAGGGAGCAGAAGGGAAUAGUGCGCAAUGGGGGAAGCGCUGACGCAGCAACGCCGCGUGAAGUCUGACACUUGUCAGAACGUAAACUCCUUUUGUUAGGGAGGCGGUACCUAACUAAUAAGCACCGGCUAACUCCGUGCCAGCAGCCGCGGUAAUAC
rnacentral:rRNA from 1 species